UGAGGCAAAAGAAUUGAAGCACGCUGC
rnacentral:piRNA from 1 species